rnacentral:rRNA from 1 species
GAGUUUGAACCUGGCUCAGGAUGAACGCUGGCGGCGUGCCUAAUACAUGCAAGUCGAGCGAACCACUUUGGUGGUGAGCGGCGAACGGGUGAGUAACACGUAGGUGAUCUGCCCAUCAGACGGGGACAACGAUUGGAAACGAUCGCUAAUACCGGAUAGGACGAAAGUUUAAAGGUGCUUCUGGCACCGCUGAUGGAUGAGCCUGCGGCGCAUUAGCUAGUUGGUAGGGUAAAGGCCUACCAAGGCGACGAUGCGUAGCCGACCUGAGAGGGUGAACGGCCACACUGGGACUGAGACACGGCCCAGACUCCUACGGGAGGCAGCAGUAGGGAAUCUUCGGCAAUGGGCGAAAGCCUGACCGAGCAACGCCGCGUGAAUGAUGAAGGCCUUCGGGUUGUAAAAUUCUGUUAUAAGGGAAGAACGACUUUAGUAGGAAAUGGCUAGAGUGUGACGGUACCUUAUGAGAAAGCCACGGCUAACUACGUGCCAGCAGCCGCGGUAAUACGUAGGUGGCGAGCGUUAUCCGGAAUUAUUGGGCGUAAAGAGCGCGCAGGUGGUUGAUUAAGUCUGAUGUGAAAGCCCACGGCUUAACCGUGGAGGGUCAUUGGAAACUGGUCGACUUGAGUGCAGAAGA